UCAAACUUGGUCAUUUAGAGGAAGUAAAAGUCGUAACAAGGUCUCCGUAGGUGAACCUGCGGAGGGAUCAUUAACACUAUUUGGCUUAUGUUCCUAACGAGCUUAAGUCCAAAUUUUCCACACACCACGCGAACUCGGUUACCUCUGUAACCAUUCAAAACUAUUCAAGGGUAAGGUUGGGGAUGCGACGAAGUGAGCCACAAUUGCUGGCAGCUCCCUUUCUAUCUCUUGUAUGGUUCUUUUGGGAGAUAUGACACUUCACAUAUUUCGUCUGUCCUUUUUUUUCACCGUAAGCCAAUAGACUGAUUUUGUUGAAGUAAGUUGAAAAGCUUAUCUUCUUCUAUCCAAAAACUAAGCACAACUCUUAGCAACGGAUAUCUUGGUUCUCGCAUCGAUGAAGAACGCAGC
rnacentral:misc_RNA from 1 species